rnacentral:lncRNA from 1 species
GAGGGAGCGAAGCGGCGAGCGGGCUGCAGGCCGAGCAGGGCCAUGCGGCGGUAGUGGCGGCAGACAGGACAGAGCCCUGGCAGGAGAGGCACAGCACGUCAGGGUCUGGCUCUGUCAUAUAGGCUGGAGUGCAGUGGCACGAUCUUGGCUCAUUGCAACCUUCACCUGCCGGAUUGAAGUGAUUCUCCCAUCUCAGCUUCCCAGUAGAGACGGGAUUUCACCGUGUUAGUCAGGAUGGUCUCGAUCUCCUGAUCUCGUGAUCCGCCCACCGUGGACUCCCGAAGUGAUGGGAUUACAGGCAUAAGCCACCGCACCUGAUGAUAUUGUGUCCGGAAUUGGUGGGCUCCUGGUCUCACUGACUUCAAGAAUGAAGCCGCGGACCCUCACACUUGCAGUAAAGACCCUCUGAAGAAUCAUCUGAAAGGGCAUUUGAAAGUCCGUAAACAAAUAGUCUCGGUCUGUCGCCCAGGCUGGAGUGCAGUGGUGCGAUCUCGGCUCACUGCAAGCUCCACCUCCGGGUUCACGCCAUUCUCCUGCCUCAGCCUCCCGAGUAGCUGGGACUACAGGCACCCACCACCACGCCCGGCUAAUUUUUUGAAUUUUUAGUAGAGACGGGGUUUCACCGUCUUAGCCAGGAUGGUCUUAAUCUCCUGACCUCGUGAUCCAACCGCCUCAGCCUCCCAAAGUGAAGACAUAUUCUUAAUAUUUUUCAGGCCUCAUUGCUUGCCACUAAUGAGAACUGGGGGUCAUAAUCUAAUACAAGAAAGAGUGAGAAGACUAGUGGUAACAAAUUAAAAUACCAUGAGAUAUCUUCUGUGAAAAACAAAUCAUGAAUUGUGUACAUUUGUGAAACAUAAAAUAAAUAAAUAAUUACCAA